CAAAUCAGGUAGCUGAGUGUAGCAUCAUCAGGAUUCUCGUUCUCCCCGCCUUCAUUCUCAAAGUCUUCUUCAAUCUGAAUCUCUUCCCAGUCCCUAUGUCAUUCGCCAAACUGUUUACACAUAUCAUGAACUACCCAAAAGAUACACUGUAGCUUCCUUUGCCAAACUUGAAGGCAAGUCUUUCUAGGAGACAAAGAUAUUCAAUUCAUCUUUUGCUCAGCACACAAGUUGCAUUUUCCUCCUCUCGUUUAGUAUUGCAUGACACGAAGUCAUUGUUUCAAUAACAAGGAAAAUGCAAUCUACUUUAACAAGGAACACUACAAUUACAAUCUACAUUAAUGCCAUCAUUGAUAUCUCUGCUUAAUAUGUGGAAAACUACUACUAACUUGUUUUUUCUUUCUGAUCUUAUCAUUGAGCUAAUGUUAAGCUCGACCUCAACUUGGGAAUCUCUCUUUCACUGGGAGAUGGUCCAAAGCAAAAAGAUAGGGCCCUCCGGCUUCACCAUGUCUCUAACAGUAAGAUAGAUGGAGACCCAUAUGGCUGCAGCGGCAUGUGAUACGCCUUUCAAUUUCUUGAAGAGGGGUUCAGACCAUCUUACUAACCGGCAUGCCCUUCCUUCUGCGUUCUUUUCACCCCAUGGUAUAUAGUAAAAUACAUUAGCACACAUCUUGUUAUAUCCAACUGUUUCUCACUGCCACACAUUUAUAACUUGCACAAUCUUUUUUUGUACCUUUUGUCCAGAACUAAUAAUACACCAUAUGAAAUAGAAUGACAAUCUAUAAAUUUAUCGAACUUUAAGGAGUAA